AUCGUUGAAAUGCAAUUUCGCGAUAGUUUCUAAGCACGUAAGUGCACUCCGUAUACACUUCGGUAAGUUCGAAACAGUCAUUUAAUGGUUGAGAGCGAAGAUCGGUGAAACGAAUAACAUCUGCCAAGGUAUAAAAGCCGUGACACGAUUGUAAGAGUCGAAAGAAACAGCUGGCCCACAAAAGAAUUCUUUCUGACCGCUCAUCGAUGGCGAAUGAUCGCUUUCGAUCGAACGCUGAUUCAUGCGGUCCGAAUUUCGGACGCUGCUCGUCGCAUGCCGAGUCGAUGAUGUGUUAAAUCGUCGAUCGCGCUUCUUUUUAAUUUUUCCAACUGUAAGAAGAUUGAUUUCGAUGAAGACAGAAUGGCGAGCAUCGAAUAAUAUCGAUAAAGAGAACGAGAUAAUCAAAAACGUGAGAUGAGCUAUACAUUUGCGAUUAAUUAAAAUAUUAAAAAGUAAUUCAAACCAAAGGAUCGAUUCAUCUGGCUAUUAUCACACAUCGAUGUGUUUAUUAAUCGUCACUAAAUAAAUCAUUUUUAAAGGAACGAACGAUACACCUAAGUGAAAAAAUAAGAGAUGUCAUAAGAUAAAAUAAUUUGUUUUCUUAAUUGCGAUGCAACGAUAAUCUAGAUCUGUUAGAAUGAUUUGAUGAGAAUAGAUAUAUGAAUACAAGCGAUUCAUUCUUGUCGUCCUUUGGUUGAAAGCAAACCUACACAUCCUUCGUUACCAUCAUGGCAACAUUACCAACGGUACGUUUACCGUGUCGAGAAUUACUGGUCCCCAGCUACGAUUAAAUAGAUCUUGUGUUCUCCAGUGCUGGAACAAAGCAACGCGUGCGCAUAUCUAGUAUGACCAGAAUGCAAGGAAGUCGUGUGCUGUAAAACACGUUGCGUCGUAAGCAGCGAUGGCAGUAGCACCUUUGUCGUGGAAGCACCUUGAGUACAAAGAAACGACAAUAUCUAUUCUCUCUCGUAGCAGUAUCGUACGAGCACGUAUUACCGUUAACCAUAAACAUUUGACAUUUUCUACGAACAUACACUUCGUCGAGAAAAGUGAAUUACACUGUUGUUAGGCGCACGCGCGGGUGGAGCACGUCCUUGGAUCAAACUUACGUCUAAGAGAACACGAUGAUGGCAUUAUAAACUUCUACUUAUGCAUUACGACUUCCGAAGCAAUGUAAUAGGCUCAAACGACUUUAUAACUGUCAACGGGACGUAUUAAAUUAACCUUUCGAACCGAACCUUAUAUCUAUUAACGACAUAAAGACUCGAUAAUAUAUCACAUGUCAACUAUUAUUCUGGAAUUCUUAUUACACAAUUCAAGUAAUUUAUCUUAUUUCCAUUAACUUUCAAGGAGCAAUUUGAAUGUGAUCAGGAAUGGAGUCAAUUGAAGUUGGUAUGUAUGUAUUUAAAGUUAAACGAAAAUAGCUCGUAAUGCGCCAUGAUAAAAUCGAUAAGUUUAAAAAUGAGGUGGAUGCUAGCUAUGACACAUGUCGAAGGAUAUUAAUAUAAUAAUUGGGAAAGAAUUCGACUCAUUGUAAUUUUCCUUUUGUAAGUGCAGACAUUGCAUGGACGAACUUGUUGGCGCCGAGGUUGAAAUAAUUCAGCAUAUUACACGCAUAGUUUACCGCGUGAAAUGUUCCGCCAUUUCUAACCACUUUGAAUCUUCUCCUUCCUUUCUUAGUAAUCGCAUUUAAUUGUAAGAUAUCAAGAUUUACACGGAAAUGGAAAGACGAUUGACGAUUCAACGAAAAUCAAUGUUCGUUUUGGAUAACCACAUAGUAGAAAAUCAAUAGAAUGCAAAAGGAAUGCUUUAUCGUUCGAUAUUCGAUACACUCAAGACGGAAUGGAAGAGAAACGUGCUUUUCCAAUGAACAAACGAUGGACAAGGAAGAGAAGAUAAAAAGGAGAAGGGACUCAUGGGACUGCGAAUAUCUCUCAAGAAACGAAUUCUGUCUUAUGACAAGAAAGAAGAAAGAAGAAAGAAGAAAGAAGGAAGAAAUAGUAGAGAGAAAGAAAGAGAGAGAGAGAGAGAGAGAGAAAGAGAGAGAAAUAAAAAGGGAUGGGGAGAGAGGAAUCGUAACCGCAAUGAAACGAGCUUCGCGAAAGACAAGAUCCCCGUGAGAAAGCGAACGAAGUAUUCGGUAUAAUAUCACGAGUGGGUUACCACUAGGCGUUAUUACGUGCCGUGUAACGCCUUCUAUAUCCUUUAUCCGCGAUCUAAAUCUUAGUUACGAGCGGCGCAAGCGCACAGUUAUGGUUUUGCGGUAAUUAUAAUGACGCCGGUAACAACCGCGUUCCGAAAGCUUCUCUUCUUUGACAAUCGUACCACACGCGUUCCGGUUAUCUUUUUUCUACGAAAACCGCACUUUGACAUUUCGAUGUUUUAUUACUGAAAAAAAAAAGAAAAAAAAAAAACAAGAAGAAGUAAUGACCUCUCCGUGUCAUUUUUUUUCAAGAAAGAAAAAAUUUUUUGAUUGAUGGUAAAUGACAAAAAUGAAACAACUUAUUAUAAAUCUGCAAUAAAAUUAUAAGAUCAUUUUUAUUCCGAAGUACAUUCACAAAAGUAAAAGAAAAAAUACAUAAAGAUAACGUACGACUUAGAAAGCUCCACGCUUGUUAGAAGAAGAUAUUAUUGAAGAAAAAAAAUGGUAUAAAGUAAAUAAGAUAAGAAAAUAAGAGCAAGACAAGAAAGAGGAGUUGUCUUGUACUGCAUUUUUUGUAUUAUCUUUCUUUUUCCUUUAGCGCUCAUAUCUUAGUAAGUUUGGCCGAACAGCAAGCGGCAUUCUCUCCUCUGUAUCCGUAUCGAAGAAUUAAUAUAUGUUCCAAGAGAA